rnacentral:misc_RNA from 1 species
UGACAUUUUACAAGAUGACUCUUGUAAAGGAAUUUUUGCAAUUGAGCUAGAAGAUGCAGAUGAGGUUGCUGCUGAUGAUGAUAAUGAUGAAAAUGAUUAUGCCGAGCUUCCAAGAACUUUAAAUCGUAAGAGUUUAGGUAAAAACAUUGUUGCUGAUCUAUUAGAUAGCUUGAUGGUGCAAACUUUUGAGCAUCUUGAAUCGUGUGCAAGAAAUAAGCGUUUGGGUGAGGUGUUUGAAACUCUUUUGGAUUCAUUCAUGCUAACUAUCCUAAACACAUACAAGUCAAAGUUUGCUCAGUUUGUAAUGUUCUAUGCCUGUGCACUGGAUCCUGAAAAAUGUGGCGUGAAAUUUGCCAACACGCUUGUAGAUAGGUUUGUUUGCAGUGACAACGCCGUUACCAGAAUGAGUGCUGUGGCUUAUCUUGCUAGUUA